rnacentral:tRNA from 1 species
GCCCCGGUAGUCCAACGGCAGAGACACGGUGCUCAAACCACCGCCAGUGUGGGUUCGAAUCCCACCCGGGGCA